UACGUAGGGGGCAAGCGUUGUCCGGAAUUAUUGGGCGUAAAGAGCUCGUAGGCGGUUCGACAAGUCGGGUGUGAAAACUCCGGGCUCAACCCGGAGACGCCACCCGAUACUGUCGUGACUGGAGUCCGGUAGGGGAGUGGGGAAUUCCUGGUGUAGCGGUGAAAUGCGCAGAUAUCAGGAGGAACACCGGUGGCGAAGGCGCCACUCUGGGCCGGUACUGACGCUGAGGAGCGAAAUCGUGGGUAGCAAACAGG
rnacentral:rRNA from 1 species